rnacentral:rRNA from 1 species
GAUGAACGCUAGCGGCAGGCCUAACGCAUGCAAGUCGAGGGGCAGCACAGAAACAGCAAUGUUUUGGUGGCGACCGUCGGACGGGUGCGUAACGAGUAUGCAACCUACCUUUAACAGGGGGAUAACGGAGAGAAAUUCCCACUAAUACCCCAUAACAUCGAUCAAGGCAUCUUGGUUGGUUGAAAACUUCGGGGGUUAAAGACUGGCAUGUGUUGUAUUAGGGAGUUGGUGAGGUAAUGGCUAACCAAGCCUACGAUACAUAGGAGGACUGGGAGGUUAGCCCCGCACGCUGGUACUGAGACACGGCACAGACUCAUACGGGAGGCAGAAGUGAGGAAUAUUGGUCAAUGGGGGCAACCCUGAACCAUCCAUGCCGCGUGCAGGAAGACGGCUCUAUGAGUUGUAAAAUGCUUUUAAACAGGGAUAAAGCACAGUAUGUAUACUGUGUUGAAGGUACUGUAAGAAUAAGGAUCGGCUAACUCCGUGCCAGCCGCCGCGGUAA